CUAUGCAUUUGCAGAAAAGAAAGCGGAUGAACUCAGCUGAAACAACCGAAACCUAAUCUCCAGUCUCCUUCCUCUUCUCUCCGUCUCUUCUCUAAUCUGAGCAAUCUCCAUUCCGUUUCUCGAUUUCUCUCAACCCCGUCGUCUCUGAGACUCCAACUCUCUCGUCUUCAUCUGCUCUCCCUCUCGCUCUCUGUUUUCGUCUCCAACUCUUUAGGGGCUCCCAUUCGUCUCCGUCUCUCUGCCAAGGAAAAGUUCAAUACUUUGAGGGAAGCUGUUGUCUGUUUUGUGACAAAGUUUUUGUCUAUGUGUUCUCUGUUUUGACGAGAGAGAGAGAGCGAGAGAGAAGGAAGGGCAAGUUCAGAGGGAGAGAGAUAUAGAGCUGCUAUUGUUCUGUCUUCUGCUGUCGUGUAAGGGAGAGCCUGAGCAGAGAGGAAGGAGGAGAAGCUGAGAGUGAGAUUGAUGGAAUGGUUGCUGUGCACAAGAAGAAGAAGCAAAGGAUGAGAAUCUGUCAAUUCUCCUAUAAAUUCUGCACAAGAACUGCUUGAUGAAAUGUUUAUUUUAAUAUGGCUAAACAAGUUUUCAGUUUUUAUUAAUUUUGGAUGUAAGGAUUGCUCUAAAUAUUAUCCUGUAAUCCGGGUUAUUAGUUAUUACUGAAACUCCAGAUGACCCUUUUAAGUGUUCUAGAGCUGUAUAUCUGAAGUGUCAUGGACAUUCUGAGAAUUUCUUGUUGAACUCAGUUGUUUUGUAUCAAUGCAUCUUUGUUGAUUCAAGAAACGAUAUUAUUGUCAUUCGAUGAUCACUAAAAUUGAGAUUGCAAAAUGUGGGCGAGGGAAGGUCAGGAGCUCCUUUGAUGAGCCUUGCUUUCACUGAUCGACAAGAGGAUGAAAGAGCACACUGAUGAAGUGCUUCAUGCUGUCAAGUGUCCAUGGUGUAAGCGCACAGCUCACUCAACUUGAGAGCAAGACGCGUCGAAUGGAGAGCAAGACGCGUCGAAUGGAGAAUGCAGUCGAUGAUCACAAGGAAUCUCUUAACUAUUACCAUGGAAGGGCCUAUGGGAAAUUGCGGGAGCUUGAGCAUCUGUUAAGAAAGUUCUUCUCUUCUUUCUUUCUCGACAACAGACAAAGACUCAGUCAGAGAGAGAACUCAGAGACGACUCAGACGAGACGGAGACGACCUCGAGCCCUCAACCACUCCAGGCGCCACGGCGAUCCCACCCCGACGUGACGCUGGCGCCACUGUGAUCUCACCCCGACGGUCGUGGCCCUCCCGUACCCUCUGAAGGCUGAAGCACAGACGACUUCCGACUCCGUCCCUCUGGUCUCGCUCACGCUCCGACGCUCCUCCAUCCUUCGCUGCUCUCCAAUCCGAGUCUCUGACGUAAUUGUCAAUUGAAGUCCGAUUGAGUUCUCGAUUGUCAACGGAGCCCCUAACCUGAUUAAGUCUCUCUCUACUCUCAGUCCGUGUCCGAUUGCACAGUUGAUUGAAGUUCGUCCGCCUCCAGCCCUUGUCCACGACAUAUAUAAAGGUUGCUCAAGCUGUUUCUUCACGGCCGGAUUUGAUACCUCCUGAAUAUCUGGAUGAACUGUCGCUGUUGCAAGAUAAAAUAGCUCCAUUUUCUACUGAGGUUGCUUACAUACAAUAGAAAAGGAGCUUAACUUGCCUAUUGAUGAGUUAUUUGCGGAGAUUUCACCAGAGCCUAUAGUAGCAGCAUCCCACGGACAG